rnacentral:rRNA from 1 species
UACGGGAGGCAGCAGUGGGAAUAUUGGACAAUGGGGGCAACCCUGAUCCAGCCAUGCCGCGUGUGUGAAGAAGGCUUUCGGGUUGUAAAGCACUUUCAGUGAGGAGGGAAACCUUAUGGCUAAUACCCAUGAGGCUUGACGUUACUCACAGAAGAAGCACCGGCUAACUCCGUGCCAGCAGCCGCGGUAAU